rnacentral:lncRNA from 1 species
AAGUUGACAAAAGUGCUACUAAUUCAAAAGGAUGCGAAGAACUAGAAACUCUAGUGAUGAGCUGUCUGGGUCACAAUGAUGCUACAUAAUGGAUUUCCUUGAGAAGGCUGUCCACAGUGCCAGCAGGGAAGGGGCACAGCAUAGAUGCCAAUGGUUGUUUCCUGCAAAGAAGAGCAACACAGAGCCAAGACAGAAGGCAAUCUCUGCUGCAUGCUGAUCAGAAUGUAAUUGGAGAAGGAUUUCUCGCAGUCCACCUCUGAAAUGAAACACGACACAACCCUUCCAGUUUCGGAUUGCAGGACUGACCAGCAUACAUGCCUUCAUCAUGGAGACAGAUGAAUUCUACCUCCCUCUGGUCCUUCAGUGUUGAUGACUUCAUUGUAAAUUCUCUGCACUUCUUUAAUUGUCAGUGGUGCGCAGGUUCUUCCCCAGGCAGACUUUCAUUUUUGGCUCCAGCAUGAGACAUAUGACUGGGAUCAGGAGCCGUCCGAACAUUCAGAACAGAAGUCAUCUCCAUCAGGAACAAAUUAAUUGUGGAAGACACAUUCCCCUCUUGCUGCUCCCUCCUUGUAGGAUGCAUACCACCACUGCAACUUUUUUUUGAGUUCAUAAUGUGCUGCUUUCUGGAUACUGAAAAAGUGUACAGGGCUCCAGUCUUGAUUUCCUUUGCCUGCACAAUCUGGACCUGCCUUAACAGAAUCAGAAUUGGAAUGAAGGCAGUGCUGCAAGCAGCCCUCUGACCGUACUCAGCAUCUUCACAAGCUCCUCUGCUUCUUCACUAUGGAAUAAAAGCUUCCUAUGUUUUGUGGCCA